rnacentral:rRNA from 1 species
UUCUAUGGCCAUGCCACCCUGAACAAGCCCAAUCCCACCUGAUCUCGGAAGCUAAGCAGGGUCGGGCCUGGUUAGUACUUGGAUGGGAGACCACCUAGAAAGACCAGGUGCUGUAGGAG